rnacentral:lncRNA from 1 species
AGCCUAGAGAGGGAAGAGGUGUGAAGGUGUAGGGCAUGACUCAUGAGCUUCCGUUGCAAGGUUCUCCUUCCUUAUUCCGGACCAGAAUCUUGUCUUUGCCUCUCGGUGGGUUGUUCUGCAUUUCAUCCCCUUUUUGUUUUCUUCUCCUCAUCUUCUUCUCUUUUUCUUGGGGACCAUCCAUGGACCAAUGUACUGGAGGUCGGUCUUUCAGC